rnacentral:lncRNA from 1 species
CUUCUGCUGACGGAUCCUUUGGAGACACCAGAAGCAUGCGCCAUCAGCUCCUUGUAUUUGUAGUCUUGCUUCUUCUUGCCUGAACAAAAGGGGCAUCUCAGCGUUCCGUUCACCUUCUUAACCUUGUAAUGCCCGGUUUGGAGUUUCAGGUAGGGUUUUUGGGAGUAGUCAUCGAUCUCUGACUCGCUGAUCUCGGACUCUUCAUCAGGUGGAGGUGGAACAUCCAUCUUAAGCAAUCAAGAGGAUGGAUUAUAAAGAAAAUCAGAAAAAAACCGAAUCACUUUUAUAAGGAAGCAAAACUUCACAGGAAAGUUCAUGCAGCAAAAGGUUUGCUCUGAUCAUUCUGAAGAUGAAGCUAAAGGAAAGGCCCAAAAUAGACUCAAUUUCCUAGGAAAAUGAGUUCGCUAAUAUCGAAAUCACAGGAGCAAGCAUUAUAUAGAGAGUCUGUUACGAUAAGUAACCUAACGAAAAAAUGCGAAGAAUAUACAGAGGAAGUGAGGUAAAGCGUUAAAAGCAGAGGAAACACAGUACGAAAUAGAUUUCACUAUGAAGACGAAUGCAUAGAGAAAACUGGAGCUUACUAGCGACGGGGAACGAGAUGUAAAACACGGCGAUUGAUGAGGAGAGGAGAGUGAGGACUGAGGGAUACGAAAAGUUAGGGCUCAAGAGUGAAGGGAGAGGGAUUUUAGCACGAUUAAAAAAGAGUAACUAAUGUCAAGAGUGGGGUUCGAACCCACGCCCUUUCGGACCAGUACCUGAAACUGGCGCCUUAGACCACUCGGCCAUCUUGACUAUUGCCUGACUGUUAUUAAUAAAAUAUAUAGAGUGUAUCUGAUAAGUAAGGGUUAUGUAUAAUAUCACGUGUCAAGUUUGACUAGAACGUGUGGGUCAACUGUCCAAUGUACAUAUAUAAAUAAGCUUAGUGUAGGGUGAAAAACACUGGAUCAUCGCCCCCCUAAUCAUCGCCAUUCUCGAAUUAAAUUACUGAUUACGCAAAAAAGGAACCUAUUUGCCUCCGAACCAACUCUCUUCUUCUCUCCAUCAGAUCCGUUCUUCCUUCCCUCGUUAUCGAACCUAUUAGAUCGCGAGUUGAAGGUUCGGUUACGAGGAGGAAGAAAGGUUAUUCUUUGAUCUGAUUUCACAAAGGAGAGUUUUUGGCUGAUUCAUAAAAACACCAUGGACGUUCCUAGCUCUUGGGAUGCUUUACGCAAACAGGUAAUUUUCUCGUGUGUUUUUUACUCUAACCUUCUGGGUAUCUACUAAAUCGAUAUCCUUCUUCUGGGUCUCAAUCGAAUUGAGGAAUUGAUUGGCUAUUUCUUGUUGGCUCAAUCUCACAAAGAUGAGAUUUUUAUUCUAUUGGAUCUAACUGUAGUGUCAACGAUAAACUUUAAAGGAAGAUGCUUUUGUGUUUUCUGCGUUUUGAUUUUGACAGGCUAGGAAGAUUGAAGCUCAGCUUGACGAGCAGAUGCAUUCAUAUCGCAGACUCGUUUCCACAAAGGCUCUGAUAAAGUCAGAUGGUGCAGAGAGUGACCUUGAAGCUGGGAUUGACUCACUGCUUAGGCAACUGCAACAAGUUAAUGCUCAGAUGCAAGCUUGGGUUUCUUCAGGUGGUUCAGAGAUGGUCUCUCAUACUUUAACUCGUCAUCAGGAGAUCCUUCAGGAUCUGACACAGGUAUGUAUGAUCCUUAGAUAAUUAUUUAAUCUCUUAAGCUUGGGUUGAUGAGGUUCUGAUUAGCAAUGCAAUGAAUGUUAGACUAGUUUAUGACUCAGCCUUUGUUGUGGAAUGAGCCUUGUUCCUGUAUGUAUGACUUAUUCAAAAUGCAGGAGUUUUAUCGACACCGAUCAAGUCUUAGAGCGAAACAAGAGCAUGCUUCACUUCUUGAGGACUUUAGAGAAUUUGAUCGGACUAGGUUAGACUUAGAAGAUGGGGAUGGCUCUACGGAACAAGCCUUGCUCAAAGAAAACGUGGGAAUCAACCGCAAUGCAGCUCAGGUAAAUAAAAUCCUUGUUAUAGACUAUGCAGAUGUAUCAUACAUUAAGAUGUGCUUUAUCAGUUUAGUUGAAGACCACCAUAGCUUAUGUGAACUUAUUGUAUAUAAACGGUGCAGAUGGAUGGUGUCAUUUCACAAGCUCAGGCAACACUUGGUACACUCGUGUUUCAGCGCUCAACUUUUGGAGGCAUCAACUCUAAGCUUAGCAAUGUCACCAGCCGUCUACCCACGGUACAAAGAGCUUUCCUUUCUCUUAUUUGCAUACUCUUUUGCUCUUUGCUUUCUUUCUGUGUGGAUAUCAUAUGUAUACCUGACUCUGCAAUGCCAUGGUUAAACCCACUCUGCAGGUGAACACUAUUCUGUCAGCGAUAAAGAGGAAAAAGUCAAUGGAUACAAUCAUUCUUUCACUAGUUGCGGCUGUAUGCACGUUUCUCAUAUUCAUCUACUGGUUAACCAAGUAAAAUUUUUCAAUUCAUCUCUGUUGGGCCACGUCUGGUUUUCCCAUGAUGUUAAUUUGUUAUGUGAUCAUCCAUCGGUGUUCUAGUAAAGAAUCUAAAGAUCAAAAACAUAAAUAUUUUGUGUACAGCAAAACUUCAUUCCUAUGUUUUGCAGUUUUGACGAGCUUAUACAACCAUCUGUUUCUUUCAUCUGAUACUGGAUUUUUGGCUCUGUAGCAGAGUUGUGGCUUUGAGGAUGAUACAAAUAUUUGAAAUCAAUCUGGCUUUAAUAAAAUUCUAAUCAUAAAUGAUUAUGUAUCCACUGUGUACGUAGCUAUAUCACAUGUAACAAAAAUCAUAUAAUGUGUCUUUUUGAAGUUUGAAGGAUGAAAACUCAAAUAAAACUGUGCUGAAUCAGUUUGUUGGCCCAACGAUCCUGCAAUCCAAACACAUACACAGAGAUUAGUCAGUCAAUAAAGAGAGUUCGAGCUUAAACUGUGUGUUUGAAAAGAUUACUUACUCAAGUGAAUGAUUUUCAGCUCUCAGGCUUGCUUUUCACUAAUCCACUCAACAAAACUGUCGAGAACCAAUGGCCAUGCAAGCUCUGGAUUGUAUUCCGUCAUCUCCGGGAAACUUAUCUGUAUAAACACUGUCUAGUUAGUUGAUGAAACUGCCAAGUAGGGAACUAAAAAGACUAGGAAACAUACCUCAUUGCAGAACCUGUAAAAGCCCAUCCAUUGAUCCAUGUUUAUGACUUUGUAGUCGUUUUGGAUCUGUGAAACAAAACUCAGAUGAUGAUAACAUUGCGAGUAAAACAAAAAGGCGUUAUUUUAAAGUGAUGAAGACCUUUAAAUACUCGACAAAGUAGUCAACUUGGGCUCGGAAAGUAGAUCCCAUGACAAUAUCCAGAAGUUGACAUAUAGUCUCUAUGUCUAUGCUCUUCUGUUUUUCCUCUGCAUUAGUAAACAAAGAUCAUAUAAACAUAAAAAUGUGAUCCGUGAAAUAAAAAAUCCCAUGUAGAAGCUGGAGUUAAUAUUACCUGUUAAACAAUAGCGGAAGGCAUAAGCAUAGAAAUCUGCAAAAUUUGAUUGCCGCCUGACCUUAAAGAGAUUAAAAAAAAAAAAGGAAGAAAAGCUUAAGCAUGACUCAAUGCUCAGAAGAUGCCAACCAAACAAUAUAUGAAAAAUGAAAACGAAAGAAUAAAACUUUGAACCUCUUUCUCAAGCUCGGGAAGGGCUUUCUUCAGUUUACUGAGUGUAUCAGCUCUUAAAGCCUUAAGACCUCUUCUCCACUCCUCCUACAGAUGCACAGUAAGUUAAUAAAACAAAAAGGAAAAAGAACCAAACUCAAUUCGAGUAUCAGAAAAAAGUGAUCUCACCUGCGUAAAGUAACCUUGUUUCUCAGCUUUCAUUUUCCUACAAUGUAAGAAGAGUAAAUGUAAAUAUUGCUAAAAGAAAAAGAAAAAAAAGAGAUGUAUUUAGAAAGUUUUGAUGGAUGGAUAUGAUAGUAAUAAGUACCAAGCAAGCAUCAAGAUUCUGAUAUCAGUAUGAGGCACUUCCAAGUUGGAGCAUAGCUCCUCUAUUCCUUCAGGGCUAACAUAUCAGAAGCAAUGAAUGUUAUGGCGGGAAGUGGAUAUAACAGAAACGAAGUAACUUCGUACACUCAAUGGCACGCACACUAGGAAGAAACCGAGCUUGAAAAGAUCAAAAUGGAAACUUACUCGAUGAGGUUGGAAGAUGUAUUGGCGUAUUGAUUAAACAAAUGGUCUAUUCGAUCCAUCUCUUUACUCGUCGCCUUACUCGGACCUGAAACCAUUAACAAAAAGUUGAUUCGAAAAGUGAAAGUCUUUGUUUCGUCAAAAGAUCAAUUGGAAGUGUUCACUUGUUUCAAAGGAUUCGUCUUUAGUCAUUAAUCAGCACACAUCACAAAGAAAUCAACUUUUCAGCAUAAUUAUACAUAUAUAAACCCUAGGAAGAUUCCGUUAAAUUGAUCGGGAAAGAUAUAUAUAUAUAUAUAGAGAGAGAGAGGAACCUGAGCGAAAGAGAUCGGUGGUGGAAGAUGUGAUUGAAUCAGAUUUCUUCUUCGAUGCUGCAGAAGACGGAGAGAAGAAGUAGUAAUAAAUAAGCAGAGAAACACAGAAGAAGAGGAAAGAGUACCACCACCACCACCACCACCACCACCACCACGAACGAAAGCUUCUAGAUGCAGCAUCUUUGCUUCCAGUUCAUUGCUUAGCCUCUCUUUAUCUUCAAGGAUCUUCUGGAUACUGCGAAUCGACAUCUGAUGCAUCUUCUUUGUUUCUGAGGAGAUAAAUUAGAGGCAAUAAUCAGACACCCUAAAAAACAUGCUAGAUGAAUGAUAAACAUAUUAGUUUUUUUUUUUUUCAGUUAAAAACCUUCUGCAUAAGCUUCGUCCAAGUUUUUCUUCUGGUCCUUGACCCUCUUCAGUAACAUAGCCGUCUCGUUGUAACUGUACUGAACCUUGUUCAGAUCCUCAUUAGUCAUAGCGAUCAUACUCGAGAGUUCUUCAAGAACACUGUUUCUAUCCUCAGCUUUUUCUUGAGAGAUAUCUGAAACGGUUCUUAGCUUCCCCUCCUUGGAGAGGUACUCACCGAUGGGUCCUUCAGAGUUAUAGUCUUCCGCACGUGCGCACCAUCCAUAAGCCUUGGACUCAGAAUCUCCCCUCUUCUCUACCCACUCCUUUUUGCUGCAGCCUUCCCUCUCAAACUCCUUCUCAAGCUCUGUCGCACUCGCAAACCCACUCCAGUCGCUGUUAAACUCAGCAACAACCGCAACAACACAAUCUUUUUGAACCAAGAACACAUUCACAUCAACAGGCUUGAACCUAGAAAGACGCUUCAACCAAUACCCCGAAUCGAGUAUAACCUCCUUGUCGUCAUCAGUUUCUUUCAAAGGAUUCAUCACAAUCCCCAUCCACGGCCAGACGUAAACCUCACCCGGUUUUGGUUCUGUCUCUUUUAACUGAGGGCGUCGUGGAAGAGGCUCUGCAUGACCACUACCAGCAAGUUCGGUCUCUAAGUACUUAGCCAAGGCGAGAUGAUUAGCCUUCUGUUUAGCACUUCUGCUGACGGAUCCUUUGGAGACACCAGAAGCAUGCGCCAUCAGCUCCUUGUAUUUGUAGUCUUGCUUCUUCUUGCCUGAACAAAAGGGGCAUCUCAGCGUUCCGUUCACCUUCUUAACCUUGUAAUGCCCGGUUUGGAGUUUCAGGUAGGGUUUUUGGGAGUAGUCAUCGAUCUCUGACUCGCUGAUCUCGGACUCUUCAUCAGGUGGAG